GCUAAGGUAGCAUAAUCAUUUGUUUUUUAAUUGGGGACCGGCAUGAAUGGUUAAACUUGAUUUUUUGUUUGUUAGGUUUAAUAAGAAAUUAAAGUCAAGGUAAUAAUUCUUUGAUUAAUUUAGGGGACGAUAAGACCCUAAAAGCUUUAUAAGUUUAUUUUAUAGUGUUAAAUAGAUAUUUAUUUUACUGGGGCGGUAUAAGUUAAUUUGCUAUACGAGUUAUAUAUGAUCCCUUAUAUUAGGAUGUGUUGGUUAAGUUACUUUAGGGUUAA
rnacentral:rRNA from 1 species